rnacentral:lncRNA from 10 species
CCCUGUACCCAGGGGUGGGAGGUGCUGAUUGACUUAAGCCAAUGGUGGCCACGUUUAGAGUGGAGUUAGAGUCAGUUGUGGAGAGUCAAGUCUCAGUUGGCCAGAGAAAGGAGAGGUGACCAGUGAUUGUCCACUAGAGUCACCUAGCCCGGGCAGCACAGGCAAUACACUGUCAUUUAUUGAGCACCUGUGACAUACAGGAGCUAUCUGCUGCCUUCAUGGGUACAGUCCCAUUUAAUCCUCAUGACAGCCCUGAGAGAGGAGCACUCGGACUUCAUCUUACCAGCAAGGAGGCUAAAGCUCUGAAGGGUGCAGCCACGUCACCACAGCCACGCAGCCACGUCACCACAGCCACGCAGCCACGGCCCCACAACUCAAAGGAACAGAAUCGAGGGGCGAUUUAAUGAGAGAAAACUCGAUGCAUCUUGGGUUCAUUUAACCGUGGAGCCAACAAGGACAGCAGACCUACUUCCCUGAUCCCCCACAUCAAGCAUAAAGGGACCACGCUGGGGACCAGCUGUAGCUCACCCCAUCAUGACCCUGAGGCUAUGACAGCAUAUAAGUUCCCAGGAAAAGGGGGACCUCAAAGAGAGACUAUUUGGAAUUAUAGAAAAUAAAGGCACCCGCAUGUUUUU